ensembl:snRNA U6 U6 spliceosomal RNA
GGGCUCGGCCAUGGCAGCACACAUACUAAAAUUGGUAUGAUGCAGAGAAGAUUAGCACGGACCCUGCGCAAGGAUGACACUCACGUUUGUGAAGCGUUCCAUAUUUUU